CCCCAGCCCCGAUAGCAGUGGAAAUCCUUUUGCUUUUUUCUUUAAAAAAGCAAAAGAUUGGAACGGAUAGCGGGAUUAAGC
rnacentral:sRNA from 1 species